ensembl:lincRNA
AUCUAUUAGUCAGAGACCAGAGUACCCUGUUGCCCGACAGCGAUAUCCUCCCAGACUUUAAAACAGGAAGCUCUAAGUCCAUGGCACAGAAAACAUUCGGAACCCUGCCAGGGACUCUGAAAGUCAUCCUCCACCCUCACACAGAAGGGGUGUGUGGGAGGUCAAGUCGAUGACGGAGGCCCAAGGAGCCACACCCUUCCCUGCAGAAGACAAGGCGCCUGGACUGUGGUCCCCUUCCCAGACAGAGCAGUCUCCCUGCUGGAACUAAGGAGGAAGGAAUUGAGGAGGAGGAAACACAGACCUUGAUUUCAACAUUUGUGAGUCUUUCUCGUCCCGGCCUCUGGUGGAGCAGCUCCUGACCCCGCGGAGCCUGAGUCCUGGGCCUCCCUCAGGGCUUGGCAGCUGUGCUGUUUCUGAAGAAGCAGUGGGCAGCACCCUGGGGAGUCUCUCUGCAGGAGAGUUGAUCUGGUUUUCCUGUCUGCCAAGGAACGAGGAAGUGGUUUCGGCAGGCGGCCAGGGAGGAGGAGGGUGGCUCCGUGGGAGAGAGGCUGUCAGGCCACCAGCAUCACCAUUGUGAUGCCUGGAACGGGGGGCCCUACGACAGUACGAGGCGGCUCCUGACACCAUAGCUGACAGGCUGCAGCCGGGGGAGGGGGGCAGCUGGGCAGCUUGCUCCCCAGUCGGGUCACCCAGAACACUCUGUACGGUGACAGCGCUCUCAGAGGCCAGCGGCUGUAACAAGGGGCCCCAACAAGAUGGCAUGAGUGACCGAAGCCAGUGGGGAUGGAGGGGCAAACAAGAACAGGCUCGCGAGUCCCCGGAGAACUCAGGUCACACACGAUUUAUCCAUCCCCCCAGCAGACACUUCCUCAGUGCCUGUGGGAGCUGGGGAUACAUCGGUGAGCAAGAACACCCUGCCCCUGGGGUACGUCACGGUAGACAGACAACCCUGCCUUCUCCAAGAAGCACCUAUCUGCUCCCGGAGCAUAUGAAAUGCUUGAGACGUCAAAUCCCGUUUCUCACGCGUAAAUUAUUGCUGACACCUGACCCAGGUGUCCACUGUCAUCCUCAGGCAGUACUUGGGCUGGUGGGGUGGGGUGACCUCGGGCUUGUGUUUCCCAUGGGCAGCAGAGAAGUGCAAGGUGGUCAGAUGCUAUCUCCCCUCACCCCCACAUUUUGUAGGAGGAGGUGAAAAAAUUCACCUUAAGAAAGUGAAACCAAUGGAGUCAAAGUAAAAUGGGUAAGAUCAGCCACAUUAAGAAACCAUCUUGUUUCUUUUUGUUUAAUUUGGACUCAGGGGCUCAGAAUUAGAUUAAUCAGAAUCUUUGGUUCAGUGCACACACUCCUAAGCGGCCUGUUUCUUGAUCUGUUUGAUAAAAAUAAAAGCCACCACCCAGCAUAAAAGCCAGGACAUUCUUGGAGGCUCAGUGGUAAAGAAUCCACUUGCAAUGCAAUGCAGUGCAGGGACACGGGUUUGAUCCCUGGAUCGCAGAGACCCUCUGGAGAAGGAAAUGGCAACCCACUCCAGUAUUCUUGCCUGGGAAAUCCCAUGGACAGAGGAGCCUGGUGGGCUACAGUCCAUGGGGCUGUAAGCAGUUGUACCUGACUUAGUGACUAAACAACAGUGUGACAGCCAGCACUUGAGGAAACUUACACCUCCCUCCAUAUCGCCACCCUGGUCCUACCUGUCACCUGAUGACCUCACUAUCCUGAAACUUACAUUUCUCAUUCUCCUGCUUUCUUAAGUGUCAGUCACUCAGCCAUGUCCAACUCUGUGCGACCCCAUGGACUGUAGCCCACCAGGCCCCUCUGUCCACGGGAUUCUCCAGGCCAGAAUACUGGAACGGGUUGCUAUUCCCUUCUCCAGGGGAUCUUCCCAACCCGGGAAUCAAACCUGAGUCUCCCACAUUGCAGGUGGAUUCUUUACCAGCUGAGCCACCAGGGAAGCCUGCUUUCUUAAAAGUACAGGCAAUUUUAAACCCUUC